rnacentral:piRNA from 1 species
UCCCAAAGCUUGAGAGCCAGAUAGCCUGCU